rnacentral:rRNA from 1 species
UCAANCAAUGUAUGCUUUGGAAACUGUUAGACUUGAGUGCAGAAGGGGAGAGUGGAAUUCCAUGUGUAGCGGUGAAAUGCGUAGAUAUAUGGAGGAACACCGGUGGCGAAAGCGGCUCUCUGGUCUGUCACUGACGCUGAGGCUCGAAAGCGUGGGUAGCGAACAGGAUUAGAUACCCUGGUAGUCCACGCCGUAAACGCUGAGUGCUAGGUGUUAGGUCCUUUCCGGGACUUAGUGCCGACGCUAACGCAUUAAGCACUCCGCCUGGGGAGUACGACCGCAAGGUUGAAACUCAAAGGAAUUGACGGGGGCCCGCACAAGCGGUGGAGCAUGUGGUUUAAUUCGAAGCAACGCGAAGAACCUUACCAGGUCUUGACAUCCCGAUGCCCGCUCUAGAGAUAGAGUUUUACUUUUUGUACAUCGGAGACAGGUGGUGCAUGGUUGUCGUCAGCUCGUGUCGUGAGAUGUUGGGUUAAGUCCCGCAACGAGCGCAACCCUUAUUGUUAGUUGCCAUCAUUAAGUUGGGCACUCUAGCGAGACUGCCGGUAAUAAACCGGAGGAAGGUGGGGAUGACGUCAAAUCAUCAUGCCCCUUAUGACCUGGGCUACACACGUGCUACAAUGGUUGGUACAACGAGUCGCAAGCCGGUGACGGCAAGCUAAUCUCUGAAAGCCAAUCUCAGUUCGGAUUGUAGGCUGCAACUCGCCUACAUGAAGUCGGAAUCGCUAGUAAUCGCGGAUCAGCACGCCGCGGUGAAUACGUUCCCCGGCCUUGUNCAC